CUACGCUACAGGACUGCUACUGCACACAGGGCUAUCGCAGCUAACCCAGAAGCUACGCUACAGGACUGCUACUGCACACAGGGCUAUCGCAGCUAACCCAGAGGCUACGCUACAGGACUGCUACUGCACACAGGGCUAUCGCAGCUAACCCAGAGGCUACGCUACAGGACUGCUACUGCACACAAGGCUAUCGCAGCCAACCCAGAGGCUACGGCUGAAGAUACGAACAGGUACAAAAAGUCUCUCUACGUCCUCCGCAGAGCCAUCAAACAAGCAAAAGGACCGUAUAGGAACAAGGGUGGAAUCCUAUUACACAGGCCCUGAUGCCCGACCCAUGUGGCAGGGGCUAGAGUCCAUUACGGAAUUCAAAGGAAGACCCAGCCGUCAUCUACCAAAAGGCCUCUCUACCAGAUUAAUUUUACGCACACUUUGAACAAAAAACACAGAACCGUGCAUGAGGGUCCCCCCCCGGCCCGAGCCAGGGGACUGGGUGAUCUCACUCUCCGAGGCCGACGUGUCGUAAGGCUUUAAUCAGGUCAACACUCACAAGGCCGUAAGGCUUUAAUCAGGUCAACACUCACAAGGCCGCAGGGCCGUAAGGCUUUAAUCAGGUCAACACUCACAAGGCCGCGGGGCCGUAAGGCUUUAAUCAGGUCAACACUCACAAGGCCGCGGGGCCGUAAGGCUUUAAUCAGGUCAACACUCACAAGGCCGCGGGGCCGUGAGGCUUUAAUCAGGUCAACACUCACAAGGCCGCGGGGCCGUGAGGCUUUAAUCAGGUCAACACUCACAAGGCCGCGGGGCCGUGAGGCUUUAAUCAGGUCAACACUCACAAGGCCGGACGGUAUCCCAUGGCGCGUUUUCAGAGCACGCGAAGAAAACAGCUGGCAGGCAUAUUCAUGGUCAUUUUUUUCAACCUGUCCUUGUCCCAGUCUGUUAAUCCCCACGUCCUCAAGUUGACCACCCUCGUUCCUGUUCCCAAGAGCUCUUUAAGGGCUUCCUGCCACAACGACUACAGCAGCACUCACAAUCAGUAAUCAGGAAGUGCUUUGGAAGGCUGGCUAUGGCACACAUCAACUCCAUCAUCCCAGACCCACUCCGAUUUGCAUACCGCCCCAUCAGACCCAUUGACUACGCAAUCUCAGUUGCAACUCCACACUGCCCUCACCCACCUAGAUGAGAGGAAAAUACCUACGUGAGAGAAUGCUGUUCAUUAACUACAGAGUGUUUAACACCAUAGUCCCCUCCAAGCUCAUCACCAAGCUUGAGACCCUGGGGCUGGACACCUCCCUCUGCAACUCGAUGCUAGACUUCCUGCUAGGCUGGCCCCGGGUGGGGAGGGUAGGCAUCGCUGACAGGGG
ensembl:lncRNA